AUUGAACGCUGGCGGCAGGCCUAACACAUGCAAGUCGAGCGGAUGAAGGGAGCUUGCUCCUGGAUUCAGCGGCGGACGGGUGAGUAAUGCCUAGGAAUCUGCCUGGUUGUGGGGGAUAACGUCCGGAAACGGGCGCUAAUACCGCAUACGUCCUGAGGGAGAAAGUGGGGGAUCUUCGGACCUCACGCUCUCAGAUGAGCCUAGGUCGGAUUAGCUAGUUGGUGGGGUAAGGGCCUACUAAGCAGACGAUCCGUAACUAGUCUGACAGGAUGGUCAGUCACACUAGAGGUGAGACACGGACCAGACUCCUGCGGGAGGCAGCAGUGGGGAAUAUUGGACAAUGGGCGAAAGCCUGAUCCAGCGGGGGCGCGUGUGUGAAGAAGGUCUUCGGAUUGUAAAGCACGUUAAGUGGGGAGAAAGCGCAGUAAGUUGAUACCUAGCUGUUUUGACGUUAACAACAGAAUAAGCACCGGCUAACUACGUG
rnacentral:rRNA from 1 species